UGGCGAACGGGUGAGUAACACGUGGGUGAUCUGCCCUGCACUUCGGGAUAAGCCUGGGAAACUGAGUCUAAUACCGGAUAGGACGAUGGUUUGGAUGCCAUUGUGGAAAGUUUUUCGGUGUGGGAUGAGCUCGCGGCCUAUCAGCUUGUUGGUGGGGUAAUGGCCUACCAAGGCGUCGACGGGUAGCCGGCCUGAGAGGGUGUACGGCCACAUUGGGACUGAGAUACGGCCCAG
rnacentral:rRNA from 1 species